rnacentral:rRNA from 1 species
GACGAACGCUGGCGGCGUGCCUAAUACAUGCAAGUUGAGCGCUGAAGGUUGGUACUUGUACCAACUGGAUGAGCAGCGAACGGGUGAGUAACGCGUGGGGAAUCUGCCUUUGAGCGGGGGACAACAUUUGGAAACGAAUGCUAAUACCGCAUAAAAACUUUAAACACAAGUUUUAAGUUUGAAAGAUGCAAUUGCCUCACUCAAAGAUGAUCCCGCGUUGUAUUAGCUAGUUGGUGAGGUAAAGGCUCACCAAGGCGAUGAUACAUAGCCGACCUGAGAGGGUGAUCGGCCACAUUGGGACUGAGACACGGCCCAAACUCCUACGGGAGGCAGCAGUAGGGAAUCUUCGGCCAUGGACGAAAGUCUGACCGAGCAACGCCGCGUGAGUGAAGAAGGUUUUCGGAUCGUAAAACUCUGUUGGUAGGGAAGAACGUUGGUGAGAGUGGAAAGCUCAUCAAGUGACGGUAACUACCCAGAAAGGGACGGCUAACUACGUG